GGAACCGGACCAUGUGGCCAGUGCAUUGUGUGGGUCGAUGGUCACCGCCGAUUUGAAGGUGAGUAGAGAGAGCCCAUCAGGGGAGAGACAUGAUCCGCGGUGAUGAAAGCAGAUUAAAGCUAUCAGUAUCGGGAUCACAGCCGGAAUUAUUCUCGGAAAAAGGAAUUUUGACAUUUGGUACCGGAGUUGAAGUUAGACAGCUUUGGAAAGAAACUGGACAUCUAUUUAUUCAGGUAAGAUUAAUUACUUAAAUUGUAAAACUAUUAGAUAAAAUUUAUGCACCUGGUCACUGUAUGAUGACUCUGGAAUUCCAAAUCCGAAAUCCAGAAGCAAAUUGCAAUUGCAGAUUUACAGAUCUCAAUUGAGAAGAGAAAGAUUUUUUAUUUUUUUACUCUUCUUUUUUCAGGAGACUCAGUAUCUGACCUCUCCCAGCCUUAUUUUAAUUAUGCCUAGGUUCAAGUGCAGCUAGAUUGAGUGUGUCCAAAUGGUUUCAUAUUGAAUAAAGAUAAAAAAAUUGGUCGUUCCAUAUUAAGUGGGCGCACCAGAACCGGCACCAUUUCAAUUGAUGAUCAAUAGUUUAUUCUUAAGGGUCGAUUUAGAUUUGUCGUCUUGCUUGAGAUGAUUUUAUAUUUGUCGUUACACCAUUCUAGAUUGGUUGGUUUACGAUAUUUCAGAUUUAAAAUAGUAAAAAAUUUGCAUCCUUUCUCCAUAAGACUGCCAUAAGCCACAAGCUCGAUCAUGACUUCAUGAGUUAUGUUACUGACUCACUGUGUUAUCUUAACUGUUGUCCGAAUGGAUCACAGACCAAGAUGAUGUUUGAUUUUGUUACGUCACUAUCAGUUUAUUAAAUUAAUUGAAGAAAAUUAAAAAAGAUAAGUAUUGAUAUUGGUUUCACCUAUCAGGGUCCAGAACGAAAUUUUGUCUUGAUUUUUAAAACUUUCCAAUUUUUGUACUUACUUUCUGAGUGAUGUAACAGAAUUAUUUAAUAUAUCAUCGGUUAUACAUUGUAGUUAAAAUCACAUACACAGAGAGACUAAAAUCCUAAACCGACAACCUUAAUCUCCCUGUGUUAAAUUAUCCUUUUUUUCCUGCGUUAUUUGAUCAUGUAAAAAUCUCAAUUUUAGUUUUACCCGUCUUUAAUUUUACAGUUUUACCUCUAGUUCAGAUUUAUUUCAUUGAAUUGAACACCUCAAUUGUAGGAGAAGAUGCUUUAAUGAAGCGUGUAACCCAAUGGAGGGCGGUCCUCAGGUAAUCCAUCCUUGGUUGAAUAUUAUUACAAACAUGGGUUAUCGACUUAUCGUUAGUAUCAUCUCUUUAAAAAGAAAGCAUGGUUGAUUUUUGAUUCGCUUGAUUAUUCUAAUUUGUAGGUUGAAUAUUAUUUAUUGAAAGGACAUAUGCCAGGGAUAUUUUAUUUGUUUUCAUAUCAUUCAAUGUCGAUUGCCGACAGUUGUAUUUGCGGGUAAAGUACGGAGGGUUGGAUAAUGGAAACUUAGAUUGCCGUUUUAAGUUUUAACCCAAUUUUGCUCUUCAUAUUCAAAAUCAUUAAAUCAGUAGUAUAAAUAUUACUUGCAAAAUAUAUACGCCCACCGUGGGGCCUCACGGUCGGACACUUGGAUUUAAUGACAAAGUCGA
rnacentral:lncRNA from 1 species